AACGAACGCUGGCGGCAUGCCUAACACAUGCGAGUCGAACGAGACCUUCGGGUCUAGUGGCGCACGGGUGCGGAACGCGUGGUAACCUGCCCUUAGGUUCGGAAUAACUCCCCGAAAGGGGUGCUAAUACCGGAUAAUGUCUUCGGACCAAAGAUUUAUCGCCUUUGGAUGGGCCCGCGUUGGAUUAGCUGGUUGGUAGUGUAAAAGCCUGCCAAGGAGACGAUCCAUAGCUGGUCUGGGAGGAUGAUCAGCCACACUGGGACUGCGACACGGCCCCCACUGCUACGGGAGGGAGCAGUAGGGAGUAUUGGGCGAUGAGCGCAAGUCUGAUCCAGCAAUGCCGCGUGAGUGAUGCAGGCCUUAGGAUUCUAAAGCUCUUUUACCCGGGAUGAUAAUGACAGUACCGGGAGAAUAAGCACCGGCUAACUCCGUG
rnacentral:rRNA from 1 species